rnacentral:rRNA from 1 species
GACGGAGGGGGCUAGCGUUGUUCGGAAUGACUGGGCGUAAAGGGCGUGUAGGCUGUUGAUCAAGUCAAGCGUGAAAGCCUCGGGCUUAACCCGAGAAUGGCGUUUGAUACUGGUUGACUUGAGGACGAGAGAGGAAAGUGGAAUUCCGAGUGUAGAGGUGAAAUUCAUAGAUAUUCGGAGGAACAUCAGAGGCGAAGGCGACUUUCUGGCUCGUAUCUGACGCUGAGGCGCGAAGGCGUGGGGAGCAAACAGG